rnacentral:rRNA from 1 species
GACAGAGGGUGCAAACGUUGUUCGGAAUUACUGGGCGUAAAGGGAGCGUAGGCGGGUUAUCUAGUUGGAGGUGAAAGCCCAGGGCUCAACCUUGGAAUUGCCUUCAAAACUGAUAGCCUAGAGUAUGAUAGAGGUAUGUGGAACUCCGAGUGUAGAGGUGAAAUUCGUAGAUAUUGGGAAGAACACCAGUGGCGAAGGCGACAUCCUGGGUCAUGACUGACGCUGAGGCUCGAAAGCGUGGGGAGCAAACAGG